rnacentral:rRNA from 1 species
AAGCACUUUUUUAGAACUCUUCGGAGGGAAGAGAGGGUGACUUACCGGCGGACGGGUGAGUAACGCGUGGGCAACCUGCCUUACACAGGGGGAUAACAAUUAGAAAUGAUUGCUAAUACCGCAUAAGACCCCAGUACCGCAUGGUACAGAGGUAAAAACUGAGGUGGUGUAAGAUGGGCCCGCGUCUGAUUAGGUAGUUGGUGGGGUAGAAGCCUACCAAGCCGACGAUCAGUAGCCGACCUGAGAGGGCGACCGGCCACAUUGGGACUGAGACACGGCCCAAACUCCUACGGGAGGCAGCAGUGGGGAAUAUUGCACAAUGGGGGAAACCCUGAUGCAGCGACGCCGCGUGAGUGAGGAAGUAUUUCGGUAUGUAAAGCUCUAUCAGCAGGGAAGAAAAUGACGGUACCUGACUAAGAAGCCCCGGCUAACUACGUGCCAGCAGCCGCGGUAAUACGUAGGGGGCAAGCGUUAUCCGGAUUUACUGGGUGUAAAGGGAGCGUAGACGGAUAAGCAAGUCUGAUGUGAAAAUCCGGGGCCCAACCCCGGAAUUGCAUUGGAAACUGCAUAUCUAGAGUGUCGGAGAGGCAAGUGGAAUUCCUGGUGUAGCGGUGAAAUGCGUAGAUAUCAGGAGGAACACCAGUGGCGAAGGCGGCUUGCUGGACGAUGACUGACGUUGAGGCUCGAAAGCGUGGGGAGCAAACAGGAUUAGAUACCCUGGUAGUCCACGCCGUAAACGAUGACUACUAGGUGUCGGGAGGCAAAGCCUUUCGGUGCCGCAGCCAACGCAAUAAGUAGUCCACC